UCAUCAAAGCAGAGUUUUUUGCAAAUUCCCGCAAUUUCAUUGCAUAAAAUAGCAUAAAUAUCCUGCAUAUCCCAUUGCAUCUUUUAAGAAAACGUGCAGCAUAAUCAAGGAUUUUUGCCUGCAACAAUCACAAAAAAACAACUAAUUUUUCUGGAAGCACUGCUUAAU